AAGCAUCAUGAAAACUAUCGUAGUCUUAGUUGCAUUGUGCAUCGCCUGUUCUCUUGCACAGACUGAAGGUGAUGGUUCGUGUGAGGUGGACGGCACGGUCUAUGCUGAAGGAGAACUGACCCCUGACCCCUGCAACAGGUGCCGUUGCUGGGGAGGUCUGGUCGUCUGCGUCCUCCGAGGCUGCCCAACAGACCGUAAACGAAGACCAGUCUCGAAGUAACAACAUUAUAAGCAGUCGUCAAGUUCACUCUCCAUGUGAA